GGCCAGGGGAGCCCCAGGGGGACGUGUCAGGAGCAGGGGGCCAGCGGGGGAUCCCAAAGUGGCAGCUGGGCGUCAGGACCAGCCUCCCCGCCAGAGUGCAGCGAAGGGGGUGGAGGUUCCAGUGUAUCAGGGGAAGCAGCUCCGGCAGCAGAGAAGGGAGGGAGGUCGGAGCAAGCCACCCUCCCGGAAGGGGAGGGGAGUAGUGAAGGGAGUAGUGUAACUGUCAAAAGGAAGGUUAGAGGUUGGGCGCGCGCGCCAAGUUCAAAUGUGGAGGCGCGCGGAAGUACAGGGAGCCCGGAGGAGGAGCCAGGUCCCAAAGCCCGCAGGAGGGGGAAGAGCAAUCUGGGGAUUCCGCGUCAGGGGAAUCCAGGAGGGGCGAAACCCCAGCGGGCAGGAAGACCCUGCGGAAAAGGAAAGAGAGGAAGAGGUGGAGCAGCGCAAGCCUCUUAAACUGGUGCAGGGGAGGGACUGACUCAGAGGGGACUUCAACGGUCUAAGCGUAACAGACGUGGGGCUGCGCGCCUCGGAUGUGAAGCAAACAAUGAACUCCAAUAAACACCUUUGUAUAUAAGAAGAACUUGGCGUUGGUCCUUUGUGAGCUGAGACCUGAGGCAGCCCUGACAGUAAGUCCCCUCUCCUAAAACCGCAAACAUUUUUUUUUUUGCAAAGCUCACGAAGUUUGGCAGACGUGACUACUGAGGAGCAGAUAACGACCCUGCGAAACGCAGUCGCCGAGCUCUCCGCUGCGGUAGUGGUCUCCCAGAGGAAGGUUGACGAAGCAGAAGCGCGAUGCCAGGAUCUGCAAGCCAGGUGGGACCGUGCGUGCAAAGAGGGGUUCCCGGGGUCCAGAUCAGAGGGAAUCGGACUCGGACGGAGGGGGGGCAAUUUAGUAGCCCACUUCGAUGGGAACCUGAAGCAUUAUCCCAGUUUCAGAGCAGACGUCGUAUACGCGCUGCAUUUGCUUCGAAAAGACUUCAAAGAUGAGGAGGAGAAAGUAGGCUUUAUUGUAUCCCACUUGCAUGGGGAAGCUAGAGCCUGGUUACGCAAUUUGUGGCGCGAAGAUGGUCCUGCCCGCAGGAACUCUGACGAAUUUAUCAAAGCCAUGGACGCUUGCUUCCAAUCUACCGUUGACGUUGAUGUGGCGCGACGGGAGAUGCAUGGAUUGCGGCAGGGCAAGGCUACAGUGCGUCAGUACCAUUCUCGCUUUUUUGCAUUGCUGAAUGUGCUGGGCUGGGAAAAAGACUCCCUGGCAGUGAGAGACUUGUUCUGGGAGGGGCUCCAUGGCUCCGUAAAAGAUGAGUUGGCCAGGGGGGACAGACCUCAAACCCUAGCAGACGUCGUGCAGAGGGCACUCACGAUAGGAGUGCGCCACGAAGAACGCCCUUGGCACAGUGAGGAGGGGCGCCAAGUCCGCGCACCAGCUAGAGCGCCUCCAAAAGGACCUGGGACGUACGCAUCCCUCGCCUCUGCUGAGGGCGGGGGAGGAACCAAUGGAACUUGGUGGUGCAAAGGCUCGGACAGCUGCCGGAGCCUCAGCGUCCGGAGCAGUCAAGGCGAAGCCUCCUAGAGGGACCAGGAAGUGUUACAUCUGUGACAGUGCGCAGCACAUGGCCAAAGAGUGUCCCCAGAGGCUCCAGAAGCACACUGCAGCCUUAGCAACAGUAACAGAAGCAGCGCUCCAAGGAGAGCAGUUUCAGGGAAACGACAAUGCCUGGCUGGAAGCAGAGAUGCUGGGGCUCAGCCAGGCGAGUCAGUAAAGCAGUCCCCAGCGCUUUUGCAGCCUACAGAUCCCUUACCACCCAAGCCAGUGGUGCAGCUCACUGCUACUCUCCAGCUACCUAAUGGACUCACCCUGGAAGUCCCCAUUACAAUUGACUCAGGGAGCAACGCAGACUUCGUGGGGGUGCAGUUCGUCAAGCAGCAUCGCAUAGCGCUUACCAGCCUCGCUGCCUCUGAACGUCGUCACAGUAGAUGGCAGGAAGUUGCUGGGCGGGCAAGUGGUACAGCAGACGCCACCCAUGGUGAUGCAGAUUGGGAAUCAUCGCGAGGUCAUCAGUUUCAACGUCACCCGCCUGUCAGACACGCCUAUAGUGUUAGGCAUGAGUUGGCUGGAUAGACACAGCCCAUCAUUAGCGUGGUACCAGCGGCAGACCAGCCAGGAGGAGGAGGGCCAGGAGGAGGGGCAACAGUUGCAUCUAGGCAUGGUGCAGGCGGUGCCCCACAAGUACAAGGGGUUUUUGGAGGUCUUCUGCGAAAAGGAAGCUGACCAAUUACCACCCCACCGGCCCUACGACUGUGCAAUUGACCUCUUACCAGGGGCGACGCUGCCGACUGCGAAGCUGUAUUCCAUGUCUGAAGAUGAGAUGCAGGAACUCAGGGAGUUCAUAGAUCACAAUUUGAAGCGGGGAUUCAUCCGAGAAUCCAAGGCAGUGGGGGGGCAGUCCUGUGUUUUUCGUGAAGAAGAAGGACACGCCUCAAAAAAAGGCUCAUUGUGGACUAUAGGGCCAUAAACUCGAUGACAAAGCCCAAGGCCUUCCCCAUGCCCAAAAUUGACGACCUGCUCGCGACGGUGAGGAAGGGGAGGAUCUUCACCAAGUUGGAUCUACGCGGAGCAUACAAUCUAAUACGCAUGAGGGAAGGUGACGAGUGGAAGACGGCCAUGUUCACGCCGCUGGGCACCUAUGAAUACAGAGUUAUGCCGCUUGGUCUCCAAAAUGGCUCCCACUGUUUCCAAGCAUUCAUGCACCACGUGCUAGCGGGACUCCUCUACAAGAAGUGCGUAUGCUUCCUCGACGACAUUCUGAUCUUCUCAGAAUCGCAGGAGACUCACGAGAGAGACGUAAAGGAGGUCCUGCAGAGGCUACGGGAGCACAGACUCUACGCCAAACUGGAGAAGUGCCAGUUCGACGUGACGGAGGUGGAUUUCCUGGGCUACCGGCUGUCCGACAAGGGACUAGCCAUGGACAGCGCCAAGGUCCGCGCGGUGUUGGACUGGAACAGCCCGCGCAAUCGGAAGGAGGUCCAGAGGUCUCGCCGGCUUCGCCAACUUUUACCGCAAGUUCAUCAGGGGUUUCGCGAAAGAGACGGCAGCUAUCACGGACACCCUCAGUUCCAAGAAGAAAAGGUUCACCUGGACGGACCAGGCGGAGCAGUCCUUCAGGAGACUUAAGAGCCUCUUCGCGUCCGAAGAACAGCUGCUACACGUGAAUCCCGGCAGGCCCACGCGGGCUGAGACUGACGCCUCUGACAGAGCACUGGGGGCCGCCCCCUUGCAGGAAGAUCCGCAAGGGAACUGGAGACCCUGCGCUUUCUAUUCCCGGAAGCUCAGCAACUCGGAACAGAACUACACCAUCUGGGACAGGGAGUUGUUGGCCAUCCACGCGGCUUUCAAGGCGUGGAGGCACUUCCUCAUCGGAGCCAAGCACACCGUGCAGGUCCGCACGGACCACAAGAACCUAGAGUAUUGGCGCACGGCGAAGCUCCAGAGCCAGAGGCACAUACGAUGGGCGGAGUUCUUUGCGGAUUUCGACUUCAGGAUAGAGUAUAUCCCGGGAGACAACAACGUCAUAGCGGAUGCGCUCUCCAGGAAACCGCAGUAUCUCGAGGAAGCGGCACCAGUGGCAGCCAAGCACAUUUUCGCACCGCAGGCGUGGGCGUGCGCUUCCAUCGCCGUGGACCUGGACGCGGUGCGACGCGCGCUGCAGAUGGAUCCGUUCGCACGAUCCAAGAUGGAGGAGGUGCGAAGAGGCACAGCAAAGGACGACGAAUUCCAGAUACGCGACGGCCUGCUAACCCGCAAAGGUGCUCUCUACGUGCCGGGAGACGAUCUCCGCGCGAAGGUUCUACAGCAGUUGCACGACGCACCCAGCGCGGGUCACUUCGGCAAGGAAAAGACGGCGGACUUAGUAGCCAGGGACUUUUGGUGGCCCCAGAUGCGAGGAGAGGUCGCGGAUUACGUCGCCAGGUGUGACACUUGUCAGAGGUCCAAGCCAGUGCACAAGAAGCCAGCGGGACUGCUGGAACCGCUGGAGACGCCACUACAGCCGUGGGAAAGGGUGGCGCUGGACUUUGUUACUGAUCUGCCCAGUUCGCGAGGCAAGACGGCGGUGCUUGUGGUUGUAGACCUGUUCACCAAGAUGGCGCACUUCAUUCCUUGCGCGAAGGUGGCGACAGCGGAACAGACCGCCAAGCUGUUCAUAGACCACGUGUUCCGGGUGCACGGCUUACCACGGUCCAUCCUGUCCGACCGUGGUCGCCAAUUCAUUUCCAGUUUCUGGCAGAAGCUCCUGGGCAUCCUGAAUGUCAAGAUCAACUUAGCGUCGGCGAGACACCCGCAAACCAACGGCCAAGCGGAGAGGGUCAACGCCAUCAUGCAGCAGUACCUGCGAUGUUACGCCAAUCAACAGCCUGCAACUUGGGUGGACUACUUACCGAUGGCCGAGUUUGCCUACAACAACACGAAGCACGCGUCAACGGGGUGACACCGUUCUUCGCCAACAAUGGGCGACAUCCCAGAACCUUCCCGGGGUUGGAGACAACGACGCAGGGGGAGCCGCAGGGAGCUGAGCAUUUAGCAGCAGAAUUGCAGGAGGUCCACGAGGAGCUACGACGGCACUUGGAGCUAGCUAAACACGCCUACAAAGUGCAGGCAGACAGGCACAGGAGGGCAGGAGAAGACAUCCAGGUGGGGGACUGGGUAUGGUUAGCAGCCCAGGCGGUGCCGGCCAAGUCGUUAGCUAAGAAGAAGCUAGGACACAAACAGCUAGGGCCAUACCAAGUUGAGGGCAGGAUCAAUCCCGUAGCUUUCGGUUGACCCUCCCAGAAGGUUCCAGAAUGCACCCGGUCUUUCAUAGGUCGGUGCUUACACCCUACAAGGCCCCACACAGAUUUCAGGAGCCAGGGACGGCACCAGACCCACGUAGAAAGUCACCGGGGGGGGGAAGUCACCGAGGGCCCCGACACUCAACGAGGUCACGGAAAUUCUGGACUCGAGAUGGGGGGAGGAGGGAGUAGAAUACCUCCUCGCCAGAGAAGGUACCCCGGCCAGCGCCAACAGUUGGGUGCCAGAUUAUGCUCUGGAGGAACCUCUUCUUAAAGACGAGUUCCAUGCACUCUUCCCACACAGGCCCAUGCCAGCGGAGUAUUUUGACGACUGGCAUUUUACGCCCACACAUUCAGGCAGCACCAUCCGGGGGUUCGCCUCCGCAGCAGCGACCACGCCCGAAUCCAGCCCGCCAAGGGGAUCGUGCGCGGGGUGGACACGGACCGCUCUUACUGGUGGGACGAUCAACCAGAAGAGGAGUGGCGCAGGAGGUGGCUAAGGGGGCCUUGGCAAGCAGCAUCGCCUGAAGUAACAGGGGGAGGGGAGGACAUGGAUGUGUUGGGGGAGGACCCCGGUUUCGAGCACUCAUACACGGAACUGGAAGCAGAGGAGAUCGAUGUCGACGGCCUGCAUCCAGCAUCUACCCCCGCUACAACGGAGCUCCCGGAACCUGCACCCGAGCAGCGGGAGGGGGGAAGGGGGGGCUUCGAGGGGGGGAUGGAUGUCAGGGGUUCAGGGACAGAGGCACAGGGUAGGCAGGAGAUGGAGAGCGAUGGGGAUGAAUCCCAGGACAGCGAGGAAGAGGAUGACAAUGACUCAAGAGAUUCCAUGAGUCUUUCCAGCGAAUCAGAGGAUUCCCAGAAGGGGGCGCCGGUGGUCAAGGCCAGCCCCAGGGGGGACGUGUCAGGAGCAGGGGGCCAGCGGGGGAUCCCAAAGUGGCAGCUGGGCGUCAGGACCAGCCUCCCCGCCAGAGUGCAGCGAAGGGGGUGGAGGUUCCAGUGUAUCAGGGGAAGCAGCUCCGGCAGCAGAGAAGGGAGGGAGGUCGGAGCAAGCCACCCUCCCGGAAGGGGAGGGGAGUAGUGAAGGGAGUAGUGUAACUGUCAAGAGGAAGGUUAGAGGCUGGGCGCGCGCGCCAAGUUCAAAUGUGGAGGCGCGCGGAAGUACAGGGAGCCCGGAGGAGGAGCCAGGUCCCAAAGCCCGCAGGAGGGGGGAAGAGCAAUCUGGGGAUUCCGCGUCAGGGGAAUCCAGGAGGGGCGAAACCCCAGCGGGCAGGAAGACCCUGCGGAAAAGGAAAGAGAGGAAGAGGUGGAGCAGCGCAAGCCUCUUAAACUGGUGCAGGGGAGGGACUGACUCAGAGGGGACUUCAACGGUCUAAGCGUAACAGACGUGGG
rnacentral:lncRNA from 1 species